AUACGUAGGUGGCAAGCGUUGUCCGGAUUUAUUGGGCGUAAAGCGAGCGCAGGUCGGUUUUUUAAGUCUGAUGUGAAAGCCUUCGGCUCAACCGAAGAAGUGCAUCGGAAACUGGGAAACUUGAGUGCAGAAGAGGACAGUGGAACUCCAUGUGUAGCGGUGGAAUGCGUAGAUAUAUGGAAGAACACCAGUGGCGAAGGCGGCUGUCUAGUCUGUAACUGACGCUGAGGCUACGAAAGCAGUGGGUAGC
rnacentral:rRNA from 1 species